rnacentral:rRNA from 1 species
AAGGUCCCAAAAUAUAUGUUAAGUGGAAAAGGAUGUGGCGUUGCCCAGACAACUAGGAUGUUGGCUUAGAAGCAGCCAUCAUUUAAAGAGUGCGUAAUAGCUCACUAGUCGAGUGACACUGCGCCGAAAAUGUACCGGGGCUAAACAUAUUACCGAAGCUGUGGAUUGUCCUUUGGACAAUGGUAGGAGAGCGUUCUAAGGGCGUCGAAGCAUGAUCGCAAGGACAUGUGGAGCGCUUAGAAGUGAGAAUGCCGGUGUGAGUAGCGAAAGACGGGUGAGAAUCCCGUCCACCGAUUGACUAAGGUUUCCAGAGGAAGGCUCGUCCGCUCUGGGUUAGUCGGGUCCUAAGCUGAGGCCGACAGGCGUAGGCGAUGGAUAACAGGUUGAUAUUCCUGUACCACCUAGUAUCGUUUUAAUCGAUGGGGGGACGCAGUAGGAUAGGCGAAGCGUGCUGUUGGAGUGCACGUCCAAGCAGUAAGGCUGAGUGUUAGGCAAAUCCGGCACUCAUAAGGCUGAGCUGUGAUGGGGAGAGGAAAUUGUUUCCUCGAGUCGUUGAUUUCACACUGCCGAGAAAAGCCUCUAGAUAGAUAACAGGUGCCCGUACCGCAAACCGACACAGGUAGUCAAGAUGAGAAUUCUAAGGUGAGCGAGCGAACUCUCGUUAAGGAACUCGGCAAAAUGACCCCGUAACUUCGGGAGAAGGGGUGCUCUUUAGGGUUCACGCCCAGAAGAGCCGCAGUGAAUAGGCCCAAGCGACUGUUUAUCAAAAACACAGGUCUCUGCUAAACCGUAAGGUGAUGUAUAGGGGCUGACGCCUGCCCGGUGCUGGAAGGUUAAGAGGAGUGGUUAGCUUCUGCGAAGCUACGAAUCGAAGCCCCAGUAAACGGCGGCCGUAACUAUAACGGUCCUAAGGUAGCGAAAUUCCUUGUCGGGUAAGUUCCGACCCGCACGAAAGGCGUAACGAUUUGGGCACUGUCUCAACGAGAGACUCGGUGAAAUCAUAGUACCUGUGAAGAUGCAGGUUACCCGCGACAGGACGGAAAGACCCCGUGGAGCUUUACUGUAGCCUGAUAUUGAAAUUCGGCACAGCUUGUACAGGAUAGGUAGGAGCCUUUGAAACGUGAGCGCUAGCUUACGUGGAGGCGUUGGUGGGAUACUACCCUAGCUGUGUUGGCUUUCUAACCCGCACCACUUAUCGUGGUGGGAGACAGUGUCAGGCGGGCAGUUUGACUGGGGCGGUCGCCUCCUAAAAGGUAACGGAGGCGCUCAAAGGUUCCCUCAGAAUGGUUGGAAAUCAUUCAUAGAGUGUAAAGGCAUAAGGGAGCUUGACUGCGAGACCUACAAGUCGAGCAGGGUCGAAAGACGGACUUAGUGAUCCGGUGGUUCCGCAUGGAAGGGCCAUCGCUCAACGGAUAAAAGCUACCCCGGGGAUAACAGGCUUAUCUCCCCCAAGAGUUCACAUCGACGGGGAGGUUUGGCACCUCGAUGUCGGCUCAUCGCAUCCUGGGGCUGUAGUCGGUCCCAAGGGUUGGGCUGUUCGCCCAUUAAAGCGGUACGCUAGCUGGGUUCAGAACGUCGUGAGACAGUUCGGUCCCUAUCCGUCGUGGGCGUAGGAAAUUUGAGAGGAGCUGUCCUUAGUACGAGAGGACCGGGAUGGACAUACCUCUGGUGUACCAGUUGUCGUGCCAACGGCAUAGCUGGGUAGCUAUGUAUGGACGGGAUAAGUGCUGAAAGCAUCUAAGCAUGAAGCCCCCCUCAAGAUGAGAUUUCCCAACUUCGGUUAUAAGAUCCCUCGAAGAUGACGAGGUUAAUAGGUUCGAGGUGGAAGCGUGGUGACACGUGGAGCUGACGAAUACUAAUCGAUCGAAGACUUAAUCAAUUUUUAAA